ACCGCGCGAAGGUAGCAUAAUCACUUGUUCUUUAAAUAAGGACUAGUAUCAACGGCAUCACGAGGGUUACCCUGUCUCCUCUCUCUAAUCAGUGAAUCUGACCUCUUCGUGAAGAGGCGAAGAUAUAGUUAUAAGACGAGAAGACCCCAUGGAGCUUAAAACAUAGAAACACUUUCUUCGCCACAAACCCUAAAAGAUAGAAAAUAUGUUAGCUAGUUUUCGGCUGGGGUGCCCAAGGAGAAUAACUCAACCUCCCUGACGACCACUAUCCAAGAGCAACAACUCGAAGAAACAAUAAAUUGACGUAAAAUGACCCGAUUCUUGUAAUCGAUCAACGAACCAAGUUACCCUGGGGAUAACAGCGCAAUCCAUUUCAAGAGCCCCUAUCGACAAAUGGGUUUACGACCUCGAUGUUGGAUCAGGGUAUCCUGGUGGUGCAGCAGCUACUAAAGGUUCGUUUGUUC
rnacentral:rRNA from 1 species